UGAACACAUUUUCUUUGGAUUCUUAAGAUGGAAAGUUUCAACCAAACCUAUAGUAAUUGUAAUUGGAAAAAUAAUAAGAUAUUGCGAAGAGAAAAUAGUCUGAGAAAAUGCUAGCAGAGGAAAGGGAAAAACGUAUGUAGGUAAGGAAAUAAAAAUGAUAUUUACAACUGAUAAAUAUCAUGUGCAAUGAACUAUUUGAAUGUAGACAAAAGCACUUGCAUAUAGG
rnacentral:lncRNA from 1 species